UAACGUUUUUUUGUUGUGGUA
rnacentral:piRNA from 1 species